GUCCUGGCUGGGUGGUCUUGCCGCAAGGUUAGCACUGCUCUGGUCGGGACUUUCCUUCUGGGGAACCUGUGUGCGCUUAAUUGAGUGCGCAGGGGAUCCAGGACUUUUACUUUGAAAAAAUUAGAGUGUUUAAAGCAGGCUCACGCUUGAAUACAUUAGCAUGGAAUAAUAGAAUAGGAC
rnacentral:rRNA from 1 species